UACGGAGGGAGCUAGCGUUGUUCGGAAUUACUGGGCGUAAAGCGCACGUAGGCGGCUUUGUAAGUUAGAGGUGAAAGCCCGGAGCUCAACUCCGGAACUGCCUUUAAGACUGCAUCGCUUGAAUCCAGGAGAGGUGAGUGGAAUUCCGAGUGUAGAGGUUAAAUUACGUAGAUAUUCGCAAGAACACCAGAUGGCGAAGGCGGCU
rnacentral:rRNA from 1 species